rnacentral:lncRNA from 1 species
UGCAAGACUGUGGAGACUGGAGAGGGACUGAAGGGACAAUUGACUAGAGAGAGACUGGUCGUGGACUGAGGACUGAGGAGACCCAGGAGAUUGAGAGACCGAGUGAGGCAGAGAGCUGGUAGGAAGUGCUAGAGUGAAAGUGAGCAGUGACUGGCAAACUGCGGCGACUGGCGAGACAAGAGUGACUAUGGAUGGAGGAAGGACUGAAAGCAAGUGAGGCUGAGCCGCUGAGGGACAAAGGCUCGACGGCCG